rnacentral:lncRNA from 1 species
GUGGAAAGAGAUGAGGCCCGAGGAGAAAAAUAAAACCAUGAGAAUCUCUAAACUAAGUAAAGAUGGCCCCCAGCAACGAAAGGCUGGUAGUGAGAACCAGAACUGUGGCUUUUCCUCAUGAUCUUGCCUGGCUCACUCAUUCAGUGUAAAUAACAAGAGCUGCCUAUAAAUCUACCUCCGAAGACAAAGGGAAAAGCAAAACUCUGCCCAGGAAGACCUUACUUUACAAACCGGGUGACCAAAUUUCUAAAACAUCAUUCCCGUAAUCCCUGAUCAACAGAAAGGAAGCUCUGGAAGCAUGAAUGGUCAGUACACACAUCAUCCACAGGACUCACACACCACAAACGAGUCAUUGAUCCCUUUGACCCAAUUUCAGAAAAUAUGUUUACAUAGAGACACAUAUUUUUGCUAUUUACUUUUUGAGCAACCAACAGGAAAACCUAUCCACAUA